GGUCCCAAGCUCAGUGGGUUAGAGCGUCGUACUAAUAAUGCGAAGGCCGAGAGUUCGAGCCUCUCUGGGACCA
rnacentral:tRNA from 1 species